rnacentral:rRNA from 1 species
UUGUUGGUAAGGUAAAAGCUUACCAAGGCUUCGAUCAGUAGCUGGUCUGAGAGGACGACCAGCCACACUGGGACUGAGACACGGCCCAGACUCCUACGGGAGGCAGCAGUGGGGAAUUUUGGACAAUGGGGGCAACCCUGAUCCAGCCAUGCCGCGUGAGUGAAGAAGGCCUUCGGGUUGUAAAGCUCUUUCAGCCGGAACGAAACGGUUACGGAUAACACCCGUGACUACUGACGGUACCGGAAGAAGAAGCACCGGCUAACUACGUGCCAGCAGCCGCGGUAAUACGUAGGGUGCGAGCGUUAAUCGGAAUUACUGGGCGUAAAGCGUGCGCAGGUGGUUUUGUAAGUCAGAUGUGAAAGCCCCGGGCUCAACCUGGGAACUGCGUUUGAAACUACAAGACUAGAGUGUGGCAGAGGGGGGUGGAAUUCCGCGUGUAGCAGUGAAAUGCGUAGAGAUGUGGAGGAACACCGAUGGCGAAGGCAGCCCCCUGGGUCAACACUGACGCUCAGGCACGAAAGCAUGGGGAGCAAACAGGAUUAGAUACCCUGGUAGUCCAUGCCCUAAACGAUGUCAACUAGUUGUCGGGCCUUUACGGGCUUGGUAACGUAGCUAACGCGUGAAGUUGACCGCCUGGGGAGUACGAUCGCAAGAUUAAAACUCAAAUGAAUUGACGGGGACCCGCACAAGCGGUGGAUUGUGUGGAUUAAUUCGAUGCAACGCGAAAAACCUUACCUACCCUUGACAUGUAUCGAAGCCCGCAGAAAAGCGGGGGUGCCCGAAAGGGAACGAUAACACAGGUGCUGCAUGGCUGUCGUCAGCUCGUGUCGUGAGAUGUUGGGUUAAGUCCCGCAACGAGCGCAACCCUUGUCAUUAAUUGCCAUCAUUUAGUUGGGCACUUUAAUGAGACUGCCGG